rnacentral:piRNA from 1 species
UGGGCUGACAUUAAGAGGUUAAGCUGCCUC